ACGUGUUUUCCGUGCUGGACCGUAUCUAAGUCCCUUGGAACAGGGUAUCAAAGAGGGUGACAAUCCCGUGCUUGAUACGACCACCAGUGCUCUGUGAUACACGCUCUACGAGUCGAGUUGUUUGGGAAUGCAGCUCAAAAUGGGUGGUAAAUUCCAUCUAAAGCUAAAUAUUGGCGAGAGACCGAUAGCGAACAAGUACCGUGAGGGAAAGAUGAAAAGCACUUUGGAAAGAGAGUUAAACAGUACGUGAAAUUGUUGAAAGGGAAACGAUUGAAGUCAGUCGUGUUCUUUGGAUUCAGCUAGUUCUUCUAGUCUACUUCCAUUGAACGGGUCAACAUCAGUUUUGUCCGGUGGAUAAAGAUAGUAGGAAUGUAGCUCCCCCGGGAGUGUUAUAGACUAUUAUUGCAUACACUGGGUGAGACUGAGGACUGCAGCUCGCCUUUUGGCCGGUCUUCGGACACGUUCGAGCUUAGGAUGUUGACAUAAUGGCUUUAAACGACCCGUCUUGAACCACGGGAC
rnacentral:rRNA from 1 species